UACUUGUGUGGACAUGUCGUACACCACUUUGAGAAUAAAUAUUUUUCGCUGUCCAUUUCCCCAGAAAAAAUUUCAAAACCCUAGUUUCUCUAAUUUUUCCUCUGAUUUCUUCGAACAAUGUUUCGUUCUCUAUGCAGCAGAUUGAUCCCAAAUAGGAUCUCGAAUGGAGGGGAUCAAAAACCCCUUUCUCUAUGCUCAAAUCUUACAUCACUAAACCCUUCUUUUAAUCAUCUUCUUCAUACCAGGGUUAGAUUUAUUUCUUCUUCUUCUUCAUUUGUAGUUUCUUACUUGAUGAAUUCUUGUGGGUUAUCAGAAAAAGAAGCUCUCUCUGCUUCUAAAAAGUUAAUUUCAAAACCACAUCAAAUCCAGACACUGUUCUUACUUGCUUUCAAGAUUACGGGUUCACUAAACCCGACAUCUCCAAACUCAUCAGCAAGAAGCCUGGAUUCCUUUCAAUUGAUGCUCAUAAAACCCUUAAACCCAAACUUGAUUAUUUGAAUUCUAAAGAUGUCUCUAGACUUGAAGUUGUCAAGGUCUUAUCAACUAACCCUGAAAUUCUUGGGAGAAGUUUAGAAAACCUUAUUAUUCCUUUAUUCGAUUCCAUCAAAAACAUUGUUGGUGCUGACAAAUACGUGUUUGCCGUUUUUCGACGUUCAAUGGGACUAAGUGAUAAAUGGAUGCUCAACAUACAGGUUUUAAGAGAUGAAGGUGUCCCUCAAUCAAGUAUUGUCAAGUUUCUGAUCAACGGACCGAGGUCCCUUUUGAUAAGCACUGGUAAAUUUAAAGACAUUGUACAAGAGAUUAAGGGUAUGGGUUUUGAUCCUUACAAAAAUGCAUUUCUUAUUGCUAUUCAUGCAUUGGCAGCAAUGACUAAAUCGACUUGGGAAACUAAGUUGAAUGCUUACAGGAAAUGGGGUUGGUUAGAAGAUCAAAUUCAAUUUGCUUUCAUGUUGAAUCCUAUAUGUAUGAAGCACUCUGAGAAGAAGAUAUCGAUGAUAAUGGAUUACCUUGUGAAUCAAAUGGGUAUUAGUCCCUUGCUUAUUGCCAGAUGCCCAAAUGUUUUGAAUUAUAGCCUUGAAAACAGGAUUAUACCUAGGUGUUCUAUUUAUCAAAGUUUAGUCUCUAAGGGUCUCAUUAAUAAGGAUCGAAUUCGCAUAACUUCGCUUUUAUACAUGUCCAACAAGUCUUUCUUGGACAAGUUUGUGAUCAAGUAUGAGGAAGAAAGUCCGGAGCUAAUGAAGGAUUUGGUUGCUCUAAUGGAUGUACAAGAUAUUUGAUGGAUUAUCAGAAACACAAGCAAAAUCCGCAUCAAAUAAGCUCUAUUUUGACACCACACCGAUUCCCGACUCAAGUUCUUACUUUCCUUGAAUCUUACGGGUUUACUAAUUCCACAUCACUAAACCAAUCACCAAGUAUCCAAUAAUCCUUCUUUCUGAUCCUCACAGAAUCCUUAAGCCCAAAUUUUGAUUAUUUAUUAUCUAGAGAUAUUACUGCUCUUGAACUUGCCAAUGUCUUAUCUACCAAACCACUGAUUCUCCAUAGAAGUAUAGAAAGACAUUUCAUUUCUUUUUUCGAAUUCAUCAAGAAGAUUGUUGCUAAUGACAGAGAUGUAUUCCACAUUCUUCAACGUACUUGUAUUCCUGCGGAGUGCAGAAGUAGACGAAAAUUGAUGCACAAUAUACAGGUUUUGAGAGAUGAAGGUGUUGCUCAAUCAAAUAUAGUCAGGUAUUAAAUCAACCAACCGAGGACAUUUAUGAAGGAGAAUGGAAAAUUUAAGGACAUUGUAGAAGAGAUUAAGGUUAUGACUUUUGAUCCUUACAAAUAUGCAUUUGCAGCAUUUCUUAGUGCUAUUCAUGUAAUUGCAGCAAUGAGUAUAUCAACGUGGGAAAAAAAAGUUGAAUGCUUAUAAGAAAUGGAGUUGGUCAGAAGAACAAAUUCAGUUUGCAUUUUAUGUUGAAUCCUAUAUGUAUGAUGCACUCGGAGCAGAAGAUAUUGGGUCUAUGGAUUACCUUGUGAACCAAAUGGGGGUUAUUUAUUGCUUAUUGCUAGAUACCUGGUGAUUUUAAUUUAUAGCUUGGAGAAGAGGAUUAUGCGUAAGGUUCUGUUUAAUAGAAGUUUAGUCCCUAAGGGUCUCAUUAAUGAGGAUGAAAUGUGCAUAUCUUCGCUUUUAUACAUGUCCAAGGAGUCUUUCUUGGACAAGUUUGUGAUCAAGUAUGAGGAAGAAGCUCCGGAGCUAGUGAAGGACUUGGCUGCUGUAAUGGAUGCAUGCGCUUUCAGAAUCCCAAGCAAAAUCUGAAUCGAAGAAUCUUCAUUUUAACACCACAUUGCCAUCGUGAAGAACAAUUCAUCGCUGCAAGAGGCUCAUUACAGCUAUGGAUGCCGCGUUUGGUAUGAGUACUUGCAUGGAAAGAAGAUUAUUCAUUUUGAUUUGAAGCGUGAGAAUCUUCUAGUUAAUAUGAGAGAUCCUCAUGGACCUGUUCACCUGUUUGCAAGCUAUAUGAAAUCAGAUCCUGUAAAGAUUGCAAUAGAAGGGGUAGAGAGGUUCAAGAAGGAAACUGCGAUCUUAUUAUUGUAGACGUGUGUGGUCGCCGCCAGCAGGAAGCUUCUCUAUUAGAAGAAAUGCAUCAGCUGGCUGAAUCAACGAAACCAGAUCUUGUUAUUUUCGAUAUGGAUGAUAGUAUUGGUCAAGCUGCUUUCAGUUAAAGCUCAAGCCUUCAACCAAAGUGUUUCAGUUGGUGCUGUUAUUGUUACGAAAACUGAGGGUGCAGCAAAGGGAGGUGGUGCAGUUAGCGCGGAAGUGCCAAUAUAAAACAAUAUCUGCUUCAUUCACACAGUUUACUGCAUUUACUUUUAGAAUAUAUCAUGUUUGUCAAGGUUUUCUAUAUUUGUGUUAUAUGCCCUUAGAAACCUUCAAAACAUUCCAAGAACCUUGGUAGAAUCUUCAAGCAAUGUCUAUUUGGCUGACUGCUUAAAGAAGGGGUGUUGUAAUACUUACACCAGAAUAACCCCUUCUUUAACAAAACAUUAAUAUAUGAACUGCUUAAAGUUUGACUAAA